CAUGCAAGUCGAACGGUGAACACGGAGCUUGCUCUGUGGGAUCAGUGGCGAACGGGUGAGUAACACGUGAGCAACCUACCCCUGACUCUGGGAUAAGCGCUGGAAACGGCGUCUAAUACUGGAUACGAGUGGCGACCGCAUGGUCAGCUACUGGAAAGAUUUAUUGGUUGGGGAUGGGCUCGCGGCCUAUCAGCUUGUUGGUGAGGUAAUGGCUCACCAAGGCGUCGACGGGUAGCCGGCCUGAGAGGGUGACCGGCCACACUGGGACUGAGACACGGCCCAGACUCCUACGGGAGGCAGCAGUGGGGAAUAUUGCACAAUGGGCGCAAGCCUGAUGCAGCAACGCCGCGUGAGGGAUGACGGCCUUCGGGUUGUAAACCUCUUUUAGCAGGGAAGAAGCGAAAGUGACGGUACCUGCAGAAAAAGCGCCGGCUAACUACGUGCCAGCAGCCGCGGUAAUACGUAGGGCGCAAGCGUUAUCCGGAAUUAUUGGGCGUAAAGAGCUCGUAGGCGGUUUGUCGCGUCUGCUGUGAAAUCCGGAGGCUCAACCUCCGGCCUGCAGUGGGUACGGGCAGACUAGAGUGCGGUAGGGGAGAUUGGAAUUCCUGGUGUAGCGGUGGAAUGCGCAGAUAUCAGGAGGAACACCGAUGGCGAAGGCAGAUCUCUGGGCCGUAACUGACGCUGAGGAGCGAAAGGGUGGGGAGCAAACAGGCUUAGAUACNCUGGUAGUCCACCCCGUAAACGUUGGGAACUAGUUGUGGGGUCCAUUCCACGGAUUCCGUGACGCAGCUAACGCAUUAAGUUCCCCGCCUGGGGAGUACGGCCGCAAGGCUAAAACUCAAAGGAAUUGACGGGGACCCGCACAAGCGGCGGAGCAUGCGGAUUAAUUCGAUGCAACGCGAAGAACCUUACCAAGGCUUGACAUAUACGAGAACGGGCC
rnacentral:rRNA from 1 species